GGGAUAGCUGGAGAGAGGGAGAGACAAGAAGAGAGAAACAUUGACAUGAGAGACAGACAUCAAUCCAUUGCAUUCCACAUACACCUUGACCAAGGCUGAGGAUCGCAGCUGCCACCCAGGUCUCUGAGAGUGUGGGCUCCGGUGUCCAGUGUUCAUCUGUCCUGCCUCCAGGCCAUGUUUCCACUGGAGGCACAUGUUUCAGCCUGCUGGCUUGCCUUAUGGACUUCAGACUUGUCAGCCCUCAUCAUGACAA